UACGGGGGGAGCAAGCGUUGUUCGGAAUUACUGGGCGUAAAGGGCUCGUAGGCGGCCAACUAAGUCAGACGUGAAAUCCCCAGGCUCAACCUGGGAAACUGGCGUCUGAUACUGGGAUGGCUUGAAUCCGGGGAGAGGGGAUGCAGAAUUCCAAGGUGUAGCGGUGAAAUGCGUAGAGAUCCGGAGGAACACCAGCGGCGAAGGCGGCAUCCUGGACUGGUCCUGACACUCAGGAGCGAAAAGCGUGGGGAGCGAUCCGG
rnacentral:rRNA from 1 species